GUCGCAUUAGCAAUAGCCUUUUUUACCACUUUCAUGUCCUCAAUCAAUAAAUGGGCAGUAACAACUUCCCUAGGCCACAGCUCCACCCCUUCACCGCCGGAGAUAACCGUCUUCCGGUCUCUAACCCACAAACUCCUCAACACCAUCUCCAAAUAGAAAAACAAACUAUACAAAACUACCUUCAAGAACCCCAUCAAAAUAUUCAAAGUAUACAAAACCAUCUUCAAGAACCCCAUCAAAACCCCUCUCUGAAACCACAAUUUCCUAAAACUUCCCUUCCGAUUCUUGCGGCUACCUCCAAUAUCCAAGAUGGGCACAGCCUCUGGAUCCUCC
rnacentral:misc_RNA from 1 species